rnacentral:rRNA from 1 species
UUGGAGGGCAAGUCUGGUGCCAGCAGCCGCGGUAAUUCCAGCUCCAAUAGCGUAUAUUAAAGUUGUUGCAGUUAAAAAGCUCGUAGUUGAAUUUCGGGAUUAGUGCGCCGGUCGUGCCUUCGGUAUGUACUGGUGUUACUGGUUCCUACCUUCUGACGAACCGUCAUGUCAUUAAUUUGGUGUGGCGGGGAAUCAGGACUGUUACUUUGAAAAAAUUAGAGUGUUUAAAGCAGGCUCGCGCUUGAAUACAUUAGCAUGGAAUAAUGAAAUAGGACGUUCGAUCCUAUUUUGUUGGUUUCUAGGAUUGACGUAAUGAUUAAUAGGGAUAGUUGGGGGCAUUAGUAUUCAAUUGUCAGAGGUGAAAUUCUUGGAUUUAUUGAAGACUAACUACUGCGAAAGCAUUUGCCAAGGAUGUUUUCAUUAAUCAAGAACGAAAGUUAGGGGAUCGAAGACGAUCAGAUACCGUCGUAGUCUUAACCAUAAACUAUGCCGACUAGGGAUCGGAUGAUGUUAUUUUUAAUGACUCAUUCGGCGCCUUACGGGAAA